rnacentral:rRNA from 1 species
GAUGAACGCUAGCGGCAGGCUUAACACAUGCAAGUCGAGGGGCAGCGCGAUGUAGCAAUACAUUGGCGGCGACCGGCGCACGGGUGCGUAACACGUAUGGAAUCUGCCCUUUACUGGGGGAUAGCCCGGAGAAAUCCGGAUUAAUACCCCAUAACAAUCGAGGUGGCAUCACCUUGAUUUGAAAGCUCCGGCGGUAAAGGAUGACCAUGCGCACGAUUAGCUAGUAGGUGAGGUAACGGCUCACCUAGGCUACGAUCGUUAGGGGGCCUGAGAGGGUUAUCCCCCACACUGGUACUGAGACACGGACCAGACUCCUACGGGAGGCAGCAGUGAGGAAUAUUGCGCAAUGGAGGCAACUCUGACGCAGCCAUGCCGCGUGCAGGAAGAAGGCGCUACGCGUUGUAAACUGCUUUUAACCGGGAAGAAACCCCUCUACGUGUGGAGGGUUGACGGUACCGGAGGAAUAAGCACCGGCUAACUUCGUGCCAGCAGCCGCGGU